AACGAACGCUGGCGGCAUGCCUAACACAUGCAAGUCGAACGAACCCUUCGGGGUGAGUGGCGCACGGGUGCGUAACACGUGGGAACCUGCCCUUAGGUUCGGAAUAACAGUUAGAAAUGACUGCUAAUACCGGAUAAUGUCUUCGGACCAAAGAUUUAUCGCCUUUGGAUGGGCCCGCGUAGGAUUAGCUAGUUGGUGAGGUAAGGGCUCACCAAGGCGACGAUCCUUAGCUGGUCUUAGAGGAUGAUCAGCCACACUGGGACUGAGACACGGCCCAGACUCCUACGGGAGGCAGCAGUGGGGAAUAUUGGACAAUGGGCGAAAGCCUGAUCCAGCAAUGCCGCGUGAGUGAUGAAGGCCUUAGGGUUGUAAAGCUCUUUUACCUGGGAUGAUAAUGACAGUACCAGGAGAAUAAGCCCCGGCUAACUCCGUGCCAGCCGCCGCAGUAA
rnacentral:rRNA from 1 species